UAGGGAAUAUUGGUCAAUGGGUGAGAGCCUGAACCAGCCAUGCCGCGUGCAGGAAGAAGGCCUUCUGGGUUGUAAACUGCUCUUGCCAGGGGAUAAAAAUACCUUGCGAGGUAAAUUGAAGGUACCUGGUGAAUAAGCCACGGCUAACUACGUGCCAGCAGCCGCGGUAAUACGUAGGUGGCAAGCGUUGUCCGGAUUUAUUGGGUUUAAAGGGUGCGUAGGCGGCCCUGUAAGUCAGUGCUGAAAUAUCCCAGCUUAACUGGGAGGGUGGCAUUGAUACUGCGGGGCUAGAGUACAGAUGAGGUAGGCGGAAUUGACGGUGUAGCGGUGAAAUGCUUAGAUAUCGUCAAGAACACCUAUAGCGAAGGCAGCUUACUAGGCUGUAACUGACGCUGAGGCACGAAAGUGUGGGGAUCAAA
rnacentral:rRNA from 1 species